GGCCUUUUGAUAUUGAUUUAAGGUCAGGCCUGCCCAAUGAUAAUUGAAUGGCUGCAGUAUUUUAACUGUACAAAGGUAGCAUAAUCAUUAGUUUCUUAAUUAGAAGCUCGUAUGAAUGGUUAAAUGAGAAAAUAACUGUCUUUAGUUAAAUUUUUAAAGAACUUUAUUUUUGAGUUAAAAAGCUCAAAUUUUUUUAAAAGACGAGAAGACCCUAUAGAGUUUAAUAGUUUAAUUUUUGUUAAUUUUAGGUAUUGAUAUUUAACGAAAAUAUGGUUAUUUGGUUGGGGUGAUUAGAAAAUUUAGUUAACUUUUGUUUUAUAAAAACAUAGAUUUAUGAAUGUUUGAUCCAUUAUUAGUGAUUAUAAGAUUAAAUUACCUUAGGGAUAACAGCGUAAUUUUUUUAGCGAGUUCUUAUCAAUAAAAAAGUUUGCGACCUCGAUGUUGGAUUAAAAUUAACUUUCGUUGCAGUAGUUGAAAAGUUAGGUCUGUUCGACCUUUAAAAUUUU
rnacentral:rRNA from 1 species